rnacentral:rRNA from 1 species
AGAGUUUGAUCAUGGCUCAGAUUGAACGCUGGCGGCAGGCCUAACACAUGCAAGUCGAGCGGAUGAAGGGAGCUUGCUCCUGGAUUCAGCGGCGGACGGGUGAGUAAUGCCUAGGAAUCUGCCUGGUAGUGGGGGACAACGUUUCGAAAGGAACGCUAAUACCGCAUACGUCCUACGGGAGAAAGCAGGGGACCUUCGGGCCUUGCGCUAUCAGAUGAGCCUAGGUCGGAUUAGCUAGUUGGUGAGGUAAUGGCUCACCAAGGCGACGAUCCGUAACUGGUCUGAGAGGAUGAUCAGUCACACUGGAACUGAGACACGGUCCAGACUCCUACGGGAGGCAGCAGUGGGGAAUAUUGGACAAUGGGCGAAAGCCUGAUCCAGCCAUGCCGCGUGUGUGAAGAAGGUCUUCGGAUUGUAAAGCACUUUAAGUUGGGAGGAAGGGUUGUAGAUUAAUACUCUGCAAUUUUGACGUUACCGACAGAAUAAGCACCGGCUAACUCUGUGCCAGCAGCCGCGGUAAUACAGAGGGUGCAAGCGUUAAUCGGAAUUACUGGGCGUAAAGCGCGCGUAGGUGGUUUGUUAAGUUGGAUGUGAAAUCCCCGGGCUCAACCUGGGAACUGCAUCCAAAACUGGCAAGCUAGAGUAUGGUAGAGGGUGGUGGAAUUUCCUGUGUAGCGGUGAAAUGCGUAGAUAUAGGAAGGAACACCAGUGGCGAAGGCGACCACCUGGACUGAUAC